rnacentral:miRNA from 10 species
ACAUAUUUCUUUGCAGACCGUA